ensembl:lncRNA
UUUUUUUUUUAUUUUAAUAUCUAAAAGAUUUCAAGUAAAAUAUCACUUUUAUUACUCAGGAUAUAAAUUAAUGAGACAAUUGGUAUUGAAAUUAAAAAUGUUCUUAGAUUUGAGAUUUUUCAGAAAUGACAAUCUGUUUAUGAGGAGCAAGCACUUGACCUCUAUUAGUGUAAAGCAAGAGUGUAAGAUGUUUGCAUGAAAUAUUUCACAUCCUGUAGGCUUUCCCAUAUCCACAGCAUUGACUCCAUACUUGUACGAUCUUCUUACUUGUAUGACCUUGCCAUUAGGGGUGAAGGAGGCUGUUACACACACUGGGUCUCCUUUCCAUACUGAGGUGCAUGGCUUUAUCCCUCAAGUUUAUUUUUACAUCUCUCAGAUGGAGUCAUUUAAUAACCUGCCACAUUUGAACUGAAGCUUAAAUGACCUGCUGAUUCAGAUAAUUUCUGGCCUUGGAGUUUGAUUGCUCUACAUUUGCUGAGACUUUAUUUUUGUUUUAACUUCUGUACAUAGUCUCUGCUCAGUAUACCUCUCUAGUGGGACCAUUGAGGAGUAAAUUUGAUGCUUGUUAAUGUGGAUAUAUGGGUUUGUUUUUUUUUUCCAAAAAAGUAAUUUUUUACAUUUUAUUUUAUUUAUUUAUUUAGUUCUUAGACAGAGUUUCUCUGCAUAGCCCUGGCUGUCCUGAACUCACUCUGUAGACCAGGCUGGCCUCAAAUUCGCAGAGAUCCACCUGCCUCUCAAAAAAAGUCUUUAUCAGAGAACUAGGAAGUUAAGGGAAGUGGCACUGCUGUGUUGACAAAUCGUUAUCUUGCAAGGGAGAAACAGAAGGAAUCACUGGGUUCAUAGCUAUGACUAUGUGUCAUAUCAGAGGAAAUGCUUUUUAAUGUUAUUGCCACAGAACUUUUAAGCUCAAUGGUUUGACUGUUAGAGUCAAUUAAACAAUUUUUGAAAAUAUUUUAUGACUUUUUUUGUAAUAUAUCCAGUGUCUUUAUUUGCAUGGCUAUGCAUAUAUGAGAUGUGAUUCUGAUGUUGUGCUUCUUUCCCAUGUUAAAUUUGUGUUAUGUGUGGUCAAACCUAAUUUCUACACUGUAUGAUUAUUCUUGUAAUGAUUCAGUUCUUCCUACCUUUUAUUAUUAUGCCUUCGGGGCAUAAACAAUGUGAAGUGUUUCUAUCUAAAAAUAAUACCAUGAAAACAUGACCGAAAGACUAAGAAAUGCCUUUCUUGCUAAUUAUUUUUGAAAUUCAAACAUCAGAGACAUUAUCAAAGACACAUGCAUUUAAGUACAGAAAGUUCUUAUAAAUUUAUUGUUUGCUGACCUUUUUACUUUUUGGUAGAUAAUCUCAAAUGAAUCUCUCACAGGAGAAUCCAUAUGUCAUAUGCUUGUUUCUGUGCACUCAAUAUUUGUGAAAGGCACCCCAUUGCUAAUGAAAUAGCUAGAUACUAUUAAUUAUUACCUUGGUUAAUCUUACCAACUGACCAUACUGUAUUGCAAAUUUUUUUCCAGUAAAUAAACUGCUUAUCUUUUGUUUAAUUCAUCAAUGCUAAAUUUUUAUUAGUUUACAAUUUU